rnacentral:lncRNA from 1 species
GUGGAUUCUUUACCACUGUACCAUCUGGGAGGCCCAGGUCGUUCCUAUUGGAUGGAUGCAAAACCAUCAGCUCCUUGUGAUGGACCACUUUUGCACCAGGAGCUGGACAAAGACCACCCCAUCAGCGCCUGUGUGGUAAUGGUGAGGAGCUGGGCUUUUGAAGGCUUCCGUCAAACGCUGAGUAUCUAUUAUGAUCAGGGCAGUGCGGUCUUGCAUCAUUAAAGCAUCUAAGGCAGGGCUUGCUGGCCCCACUACACAGAUGCAGGACCACUUCCAACUUCAGACAAAGCAAAGUCAUGGAUGGAACCAUUUCUGUCUGAAAGGAAUUCCAGAGGGGCCCUUAAAACAGGGCUGGAAGGCUCCCCCCCACACCCUCUCCCAGGGUCCUCUUGGCCUGCUGACUCCUAGGGGGAGCCUCAGGUGCAGGAUCUUCCCUCUGCAUUCACUCCCAUCUCCUUCACCGGUGGUCUCCACCUUUGCUCAGCUGCUGAGGAAGAGUUUGUGUUCCAGAUCAGCACUCAAUCCUGUCACAGAUCAUGCUCAUUCAACCUGGGUAACUUAA